rnacentral:rRNA from 1 species
GACGAACGCUGGCGGCGUGCUUAACACAUGCAAGUCGAACGAUGAAGAAGAGAAACGCGAACUUCGGUUCAAAUUUCACUUCGGAUUAGUGGCAGACGGGUGAGUAACGCGUGAGCAACCUACCUCUUACAAAGGGAUAGCCUCGGGAAACCGUGAUUAAUACCAUAUGACACAUUCAUAAGGCAUCUUAAGAAUGUUAAAGCUACGGCGGUAAGAGAUGGGCUCGCGUCCCAUUAGCUAGUUGGUGAGGUAACGGCCCACCAAGGCGACGAUGGGUAACCGGCCUGAGAGGGUGAACCGUCACAUUGGAACUGAGACACGGUCCAAACUCCUACGGGAGGCAGCAGUGGGGAAUAUUGCACAAUGGAGGGAACACGGAUGCAGCGACGCCGCGUGAGCGAUGAAGGAAUUCGUUUCGUAAAGCUCUGUUCUAUGGGAAGAAAAGGACUGUACCAUAGGAGAAAGCCCCGGCUAAAUACGUG